rnacentral:misc_RNA from 1 species
AAGUCGUAACAAGGUUUCCGUUGGUGAACCAGCGGAAGGAUCAUUACAGAGAUCAUGCCCGCAAGGGUAGACCUCCCACCCUGUGUUAUUUACUAUUGUUGCUUCGGCAGGCCGCUCGCUGCUCAGUCUUGAGCAUGGUGCCCAGCUCCGGCUGGGAGAGCGUCUGUCAGAAGACCCCAGCUCUGUGUUUAGUGUCGUCUGAGUACUAUAAAAUAAGUUAAAA